rnacentral:rRNA from 1 species
UACGGAGGAUGCGAGCGUUAUCCGGAUUUAUUGGGUUUAAAGGGUACGCAGGCGGCACGGCAAGCCGGCGGUCAAAUCGCGGGGCUCAACCCCGCCCAGCCGUCGGAACUGCCGGGCUAGAGUGGGCGAGAAGUGCGCGGAAUGCGUGGUGUAGCGGUGAAAUGCAUAGAUAUCACGCAGAACUCCGAUUGCGAAGGCAGCGCACCGGCGCCCUACUGACGCUCAGGCACGAAAGCAUGGGUAGCGAACAGG